CUCAGAUGAAAUUUCCACUGGCUGAGACCCAGGAACAGAGGUCUGUAUUUGACGUCAUAGUGAACAGAUUCUGUUGUACAAAAGAAUCCUCAGACACAUUGUUAUUGAAGUCAUUUUAAUGGUAGCGGACAGCACAAACGAAUUACAUAAUCUAAUACAUAUUACCACAGUGAUAUCUCCGGAAAUCAACUUGAACCUCUACUUUUAACGUCCAUUAAAACAAGAGUAAAAAUUCACAUAGAAAACAAGCUCUUAUAAAAAGAAAAAAAAUGAAAAAAUGAAAAAAUCUAGAAAAUUAUAAAAUCAGGCCAGAAAAUUGGAUUAUUUUCCAGUGAUGUUUUUUCAACCUUUCCUCAACGUCCUUUAAAAGACCACUUAAAUAAUAGGGACAGGAUCACCUGAAAUGACUCAUCCACACAAGGAACGUUGUCUUACGGUCGACACGUCAUACUUCUGUUUCUGGCAAACAACUACAAUCUAAGGGCUGAAUGUUUCCUCGUCGCCCCUUGACUGAAGUUGCUAAGUCACACAGACGUUGCGGUAACAUUUGUCAUUUUUAUACCUUUGAAAUAUACUGCAGGAAGCAAUGAUUAUUAUCAUGAAACGAUCUCUCAGCUCUUUGAUAAUAACAAUAUGUUGUGCUGGUAAAAGCCCAACAAGCUUGUGCUUGGCUCGAUUCCAGAGACCUGUACAAACCGAUCUCUGAUCAGCGCUUACGGGAAACCACAGUUGUUCAAGCAGAUGCUCUAACCGUUUGUGACUGACUUGAGAUCAGCAGUAGGGAUAUGUCAUGUUUGCAUAGGGAUUGGUAAAGCAUGGGUUAACUGGCAGAACUGCUUAUCAUUCUCCUUGGAUUACACGAACGUUGUGGCGGCAACAUUUGCUGAUGUUGAAUACAAAUACAAAACCGGAAAGGCCAGACAUUCAGCAACGGGUGUUGCAGUCUAAAGGGGCAAGCGCGCACACACACACGCACGGCGACACACACUCGGGGACACACACUCGUCUCAGCAUUUUUUGGGGGGCAGGUCUCCAGUGUGCUGUAACUUCAGCAGAAAGACCACAGCGCUGUUUAGGAAAUAUAGCAUUUAUGAUGACGGCAGACAGGCAGGCAGAGGCAGGACCAUACAGUAAUUACAGAUGGCAGAGCAUACCCAAGCACAAACUCGCACACGCACGCACACAACAUGAAUGCACAAACAACCACACACACACACACACACACGUAGCUCUGGACACACACACAAUUUCCUGCUUGUGGAGACGUCCUUUGAGAAUGGCCAAUAAGGCCCUAUAGUCUGUUUAUCACCGACAUAGUGACUCCUCCCUGUGAAUCAGAGAGAACAUAAAGAACCGGGGAAAUGAGAUGAGGACUGUGGAACACGUGCGCACACACACACUUAGACCUAUCCCUUGGUCCACCCUAACCCAACACAAACUCCUAUUGGACAACACGAGGGCUGACAUGUGCAACUUCAAGUUGUAUUGGUUGGCACUUGUUUCUUUUAUAAACAUACAGCAUAUUUGACAAUUACAGAGCAACAUUUAACAGGUUUGAAACCAAACCUGGGAAAAAGCUAAACAUGUUCUAUAAAACAUCAGGGCUUCCACAUAGGUAGGACAGUCCAACCAUCCAGAUUGGGAAAUCCAUCCUAUCCCUCUGGAGAAAAAAAUGAUAAAAAAUAGGAUCCCUUCUGAUAAAGUGUCUGUGGGACUGUCUCAAGACGUACUUCAGAGAGAGAGGAAAGUAGAUGGAUAGAUAGUGACAGUGUGUGUGAGAGAAAUUGAUAGAGAAAGAGACUGAAUGAGCGAUAGACAGAGUGCAGUGGAUGUGUGCAGAUGCUGACGCUUGACCAUUGAUACUGUACGUUUAUACGGCAGAGCAAGAGUCCUCCCUCAGCGUGGAAGCGACUAAUAGCAAGCCAGCCUGCGAAACCCUGGGAGUGUGGUUAAGGUGAGAGCCCCGCACUCAUCCAUUGGCCCCUUCAGACCCAGUCUGUCCAAUCCCGUGGUCCUACGAAGGAGAGUAGGAGGAAGUUGCUGCUAGACACUGAUCUAAGAUCAGUUUCUGUAUCCCUGCCCCCAUGGUUAAGGUUAGGAUAUGGGUAUGGUAGGCUGAUCCAAGAUCUGUGGCUAAGGGGUAACUUCUACCCGUUUUUUUUAACUGGACCGUGAUAGGCUUUCCUCUAAGAGAUCAUCUAGUGACCCCGCCCCCUCUAUGCUAGGCUCCUCCUUCUGUUCUGCCUUGGUCUUCUUAUUGAGCGGUUUGCUGAAGGAGGGCGGGGUGUCCUCCUUCAUCAACUCUUUGGCCAGGAUGUUCGUUACUGCAUGACCAGCUCUUCGGUUGGCUGAAAAGAAAGAAAGAGAGGUCAGACAAUUCAGGGUUGAUCAUCUGGCGGUAACAGACAUGCGACAGACAGGGAUAUUUGCGACGGGUCAGUUCCAUUCAGGAUGCAGUUCGGUACAGGGUAAAGACAACACGGCCAAACCAAACCUCUCACUGCAAACAUCAACCAGGCAACGUCCCAAAAUGGCACCCGAUCCCCUAUAUAGUGCACUACUUUUGACAAGGGGUCAUAGGGAUCUAAUCAAAAGUAGUGCACUAUGUAGGGAAUAGGGUGCCACUUUGGAUGUAAACACAGAGAGAAGUGACUGACUCACCACAGGCCAGGGCAGGCUGUUUGGAGGAAUACCUACUGUCUGCUGAUUGGUCAACAGUACACACACAUGCACAAGCAUGUAUUCUCAAUGGUGAUCAGGAGAAAGAACAAAAUGCACAUACACGAGACACAUGCACGUAUGCAUGCACACAGAGCAGUGGCGUUAAUGUGAGCAAGGCUUAGUGUGUGUGUGUGUGUGUGUGUGUGUGUGUGUGUACAGAACCCUUCACUACAUGUGUCAGAUAACUACCACACCACAUGGUCUUGCUGGCACAGAGAGACGGAAGGAGAGGAGGUGGAGGAAGGAACAGAGGAUUGGAGGCUGUGAGGAGAAAGGGGGGUGGGAGGAGAUCGGAGCAGGAAGGAACAGAGGAGGAUUGGAGGCUGUGAGGAGGGGAGAGGGAGGAGCAGGAAGGAACAGAGGAGGAUUGGAGGCUGUGAGGAGGGGAGAGGGAGGAGCAGGAAGGAACAGAGGAGGAUUGGAGGCUGUGAGGAGGGGAGAGGGAGGAGCAGGAAGGAACAGAGGAGGAUUGGAAGCUGUGAGGAGGGGAGAGGGAGGAGCAGGAAGGAACAGAGGAGGAUUGGAGGCUGUGAGGAGGGGAGAGGGAGGAGCAGGAAGGAACAGAGGAGGAUUGGAAGCUGUGAGGAGGGGAGAGGGAGGAGCAGGAAGGAACAGAGGAGGAUUGGAGGCUGUGAGGAGGGGAGAGGGAGGAGCAGGAAGGAACAGAGGAGGAUUGGAGGCUGUGAGGAGGGGAGAGGGAGGAGCAGGAAGGAACAGAGGAGGAUUGGAGGCUGUGAGGAGGGGAGAGGGAGGAGCAGGAAGGAACAGAGGAGGAUUGGAGGCUGUGAGGAGGGGAGAGGGAGGAGCAGGAAGGAACAGAGGAGGAUUGGAGGCUGUGAGGAGGGGAGAGGGAGGAGCAGAAAGGAACAGAGGAGGAUUGGAAGCUGUGAGGAGGGGAGAGGGAGGAGCAGGAAGGAACAGAGGAGGAUUGGAGGCUGUGAGGAGGGGAGAGGGAGGAGCAGGAAGGAACAGAGGAGGAUUGGAGGCUGUGAGGAGGGGAGAGGGAGGAGCAGGAAGGAACAGAGGAGGAUUGGAGGCUGUGAGGAGGGGAGAGGGAGGAGCAGGAAGGAACAGAGGAGGAUUGGAGGCUGUGAGGAGGGGGGACAUAGCGAGAGGAGGAGAAAGAGUGAGGAGGAGAGAGAGGAAUAUGGAGAGAUACAUUAGAGGUUACGCAACUCAGUUCCUUUCACUUGUUCAGUGCCGGGGUUUACAGAGCUUCAUCCCUGCUGAAAAAACGCAGGCAGCUGUGGCUUUAAAUUAGCACCUUGCUCUC
rnacentral:lncRNA from 1 species